CGAUAACUUUAGGGGUGUCUGCAAAAUGUAGGCUGAGAUUUUACCCUCGAACCUGAUGCAGUUCAUACUGCCGUAGGAAAAAGUAAGAUGACUUCU
rnacentral:ncRNA from 2 species